rnacentral:rRNA from 1 species
GACGAACGCUGGCGGCGUGCUUAAUACAUGCAAGUCGAGCGAGGUUACUGUUUCGGAUCCCUUCGGGGUGAAGAAGCUUUAACCUAGCGGCGGACGGGUGAGUAACGCGUGGGUAACCUACCCCAAAGUCCGGGAUAACAGCGGGAAACCGCUGCUAAUACCGGAUGCCUUUACCUUGGGGCAUCUUGAGGUAAAGAAAGGUAACGCUUUGGGAUGGGCCCGCGUCCCAUUAGCUAGUUGGUGAGGUAACGGCUCACCAAGGCGACGAUGGGUAGCCGGCCUGAGAGGGUGGACGGCCACACUGGGACUGAGACACGGCCCAGACUCCUACGGGAGGCAGCAGUAGGGAAUAUUGCGCAAUGGACGGAAGUCUGACGCAGCGACGCCGCGUGAGCGAUGAAGGUCUUCGGAUCGUAAAGCUCUGUCCUUGGGGAAGAAGGUCUUCGGACUUGACGGUACCCAAGAAGAAAGCCCCGGCUAACUACGUG